AAUUUUGGACAAUGGGGGAAACCCUGAUCCAGCCAUCCCGCGUGUAUGAUGAAGGCCUUCGGAUCGUAAAGCUCUGUUGUUAGGGAAGAACAAGUACCGUUCGAAUAGGGCGGUACCGUGACGGUACCUAACCAGAAAGCCACGGCUAACUACGAGCCAGCCGCCGCGGUAAUACGGAGGUGGCAAGUGUUGUCCGGAAUUAUUGGGCGUAAAGCGCGCGCAGGCGGCUUCUUAAGUCUGAUGUGAAAGCCCGCAGCUCAACUGCGGAGGGUCAUUGGAAACUGGGAAGCUUGAGUGCAGAAGAGGAGAGUGGAAUUCCACGUGUAGCGGUGAAAUGCGUAGAGAUGUGGAGGAACACCAGUGGCGAAGGCGGCUCUCUGGUCUGUAACUGACGCUGAGGCGCGAAAGCGUGGGGAGCAAACAGG
rnacentral:rRNA from 1 species